rnacentral:rRNA from 1 species
CGUCUCAAAGAUUAAGCCAUGCAAGUCUAAGUUCACAUCAAUUAAAGAUGAAACUGCGAAGUGCUCAGUAAAUCAGUUAUUGUCCGUUCGAUCAUAUCAGCCAUGGAUAACUGUGGUAAAUCUAGAGCUAAUACAUAGCAAAUCCCGUCUUUGACGGGAGCAUUUAUUAGACUAAACCAACGGGUCUUCGGAUCUGCAGGUGAACCUAAAUAACUGUGCAUAUCGGACGUAGAGCCGAUAGUUCGAUCGAAUUUCUGCCCUAUCAACUAGUUGGUGAGGUCGUGGCUCACAAAGGUUGCGACGGGUAACGGGGAAUCAGGGUUCGAUUCCGGAGAGGGAGCCUGAGAAACGGCUACCACAUCUAAGGAAGGCAGCAGGCGCGCAAAUUACCCAAUCCAAAAUUUGGGAGGUAGUGACGAGAAAUACCGGAGUUGAUCAUAAUGGUUAACUAUCGGAAUGAACGUAAUUUAGUACCUUCGAUGAGUAGCUACUGGAGGGCAAGUCUGGUGCCAGCAGCCGCGGUAAUUCCAGCUCCAGUAGUGUAUAUCAAUGUUGUUGCGGUUAAAACGCUCGUAGUUGGAUUACAAAAGCUCGAUGGAACUUGAGCCCAAGUGGUUUGAGUUUUGUGGGGUUUUUUUAUCGCGAGAGCCGUGUGUGGGAUUAAUUUUUUGUACACGGUCACUUGCGGAGUGUGCCUUGAAUAAAGCACAGUGCUCAAAGCAGGCGUACGCUCGAAUGUUAUAGCAUGGAACGAAUAUAUUGACCAAGUCGAUUGUUGGUUGUUGACGGGGUCUCGAUUAAAAGGAACAUUUGAGGGCGUUGGUACUUGGUGGCGAGAGGUGAAAUUCUUAGACCCACCAAAGACUCACAAAUGCGAAAGCAUUCGCCAAGAGUGUUUUCAUUAAUCAAGAACGAAAGUCAGAGGUUCGAAGACGAUCAGAUACCGUCGUAGUUCUGACAGUAAACGAUGCCAACCUGGGGUUAGUCCAGUGCUAUCUAGAUUGGUCCCUCGGCAAAAGCUAGUUUUUCGGCUCCGGGGAGAGUAUUCACGCAAGUGAAAAAUUUAAAGAAAUUGACGGAAUGGCACCACCAGGAGUGGAGCCUGCGGCUUAAUUUGACUCAACACGGGGAAACUCACCAGGUCCAGACAUUGACAGGAUUGACAGACUAAGAGAUCUUUCAUGAUACGAUGAUUGGUGGUGCAUGGCCGUUCUUAGUUGGUGGAGUGAUCUGUCAGGUUUAUUCCGGUAACGAACGAGACCACGAUCUCUAAUUGAAACGGUCAUUUUGUUUUGGCCAAUCUUAGAGAGACAACCGGGAUCAACCCGGGGGAAGCGUGGCAAUAACAGGUCUGUGAUGCCCUUCGAUGUUCUGGGCUGCACGCGCGCUACAAUGGCAGUGACAACGAGUGCCUGCUCUGAGAGGAGUGGGAAAUCUUGAAAAUCGCUGUCGUGAUUGGGAUUGAGCCUUGUAAUAAUUGCUCAUGAAAGAGGAAUUCCUCGUAAGCGCGAGUCAUCAGCUCGUGUUGAAUACGUCUCUGCCCUUUGUACACACCGCCCGUCGCUACUACCGACUGGAUGGUAUUUCGAAUAAUUAGGACCUGCCUGGCUUCUUAGGUCGGGUGGGGAGAAAUUAUAAGGAGUUUCAUCUGAAGGAAGUAAAAGUCGUAACAAGGUUUCCGUAG